AGGGCGGGCCUUUCAGGCAUCCUCUCCCAAACUUUCCAAGGGCCGGCUUUUGCCGGCCUUUUUUUUGUUCGCG
rnacentral:sRNA from 1 species